GAUGAACGCUGGCGGCGUGCCUAAUACAUGCAAGUCGAGCGAACAGACGAGGAGCUUGCUCCUUUGACGUUAGCGGCGGACGGGUGAGUAACACGUGGGUAACCUACCUAUAAGACUGGGAUAACUUCGGGAAACCGGAGCUAAUACCGGAUAAUAUUUCGAACCGCAUGGUUCGAUAGUGAAAGAUGGCUUUGCUAUCACUUAUAGAUGGACCUGCGCCGUAUUAGCUAGUUGGUAAGGUAACGGCUUACCAAGGCAACGAUACGUAGCCGACCUGAGAGGGGGAAUGGGCACACUGGAACUGAAGAACCGUCCAGACUCCUAAGGGGAGCAGGAGUAGGGAAUCCUCCGGAAAUGGGGGAAGGCUUACGGAGCAAAGCCGGGUGGGUUGUGAAGGUCUUCGGAUCGGAAAACCCUGUUAAUUGGGAAAAACAAAAGUGUAAGUAAAUGGGCACGGCCUGAAGGUACCUAAUCAGAAAACCACGGCUAACUACGUG
rnacentral:rRNA from 1 species